GGGGAUGCUUUUCAGCUCUAAGUCAGUGUGCAGUUAGAGAGAGAAACUAGAGAGAGACGCUCUCUUUCUUGAAGACAUUCCCCUCUCUGUGACGAUCUGCACCUUCUGAGCCGGUUUUGAUUUCUUUCUUCACUAUUUAUUUCUGGCCCGCAUGGCCAUUAAUAAACAAAAAUUAGAGCACUCAUUCUAUUGGAUUCAACUAAUUCAAGCGGGGUUUCAGUUUAGCCUAUAAAUCGGGUACAGACUUGGUAUCGCCUCUAGCCAACCAAGCUUCAAUUGUUCCAGAUUCUUUAAAUCUUAGUACUUUUCCAACCCCCAGAGAUGGAUCUGGAGUUGGGAUCGAGUCUCCACCCAUGAUGAGUUCUCUGGUGGAUGAUGGUCCCGAUGGGUCAGGUGUCGGCUUCCUUGAAGUCGAAGAGCUUCUCACCCUCUCUGAGGGCGUAUUAGUCGGAGAUAUGAUUAAUUUCAAGUCCACUCCAUUGUUCUCUGGUUUGGCAUGGAUUACCGCUAACAGCAUCAGGGUCAAUAGUCUAUCUGAAGACAGGGUGCCCAAACCUUGCUCAGCCAUGGAAUUGCUCAGUAUUUACACUGAUGGGGUAUGUAGAUCUUCUGGUGUUACUGUCUAGCAUGCUAAUGCUAGUGAUACAGGAAGUUCUCCUUCAGCUUGGUAUGCAGUGCCUCAUCCUUCUUAAAGCUGGCUGUAAUUAUAUACUACUGUUUGCAAUGUUGUUUGCCAGCCUUGGCUGCACUAGCUGGUCUCUAACAUGCAAGUGUCUACAGGAGUGUACUAGUGGCAGCCAAUUCUCAUGCAGGGUGUUCUGUUGGUUUGCUUUUGCUGUGUUGCUGCCUAGUUUCUGGGGUAAAGUCUAGUCAAUUGGGUCUACUAGUUUGUUGUUGUCUACUGAGUUGUAGUUCAAGCCUUUCCCCAUGGAUGCUUGCAACAAAGGAGCUUGAUGGAGCAUGUUAUGGUGGCAACUUUUUCGUCACUGCAGAGUAGAUAUGGUUUGCUAGACUGGACGUGGCUUUCUGCUGAUACUGCCCUCUAGGCUAGUAAAUCUGUGUAUGUUGUUGGUUGUCUGCAGUGCUGUGCUGGCUGGGACUUAUUCCAGUUCUGCCACCUGCUACACCAAUCAUCUUCUGCAAGGAUCUCCUGCUAUUGCAUGGGCUGUGGUUUGGUUUGCUGGAGUUGUUGUGCUUUCAAGCCAUUUUUAUUGUUGGUUUGUCCAUUUCAACAGGUCUACUGCAGGUUAUUUGUUUGCUGUUGCAGGCCUCUUGGGGCUGGUCUUGGUUGCUGUGGAUUGCUGGAGCUGGCUUCCCACUCUGGCUUUGCGGUGCUGCCGCUUACAGGUUUUUGCUGUGGGCUAUUUGUUUGGUUUGCUGCUAAUUGCGUUGUUGGUUUGCUGGAUUUAAUUAAUGGUUUUCUGCACCACUAUUACUCUUGACAUUCUGAUGUCGUUGCUUGUGUUUUCUGUGUUGGGGGUGUCUUAGUGACAAGUAUUGCUCUUGGUUUGCUAUGUUGUUGCUUCCUCAGUCCAUAUUCAGAGGGAGGCUACUGCCUUGGUUUAGCUACUGAGUGUGUCGGUUGGCCUGCGGUGAUUUGCUGCCCUUGUCUAGCUGUGAAUGUGGGUGGAGGUUGGUUUGCUUAUCAUGGUUGCAGGAUGAUUUGCUGCCCUUGUCUAGCUGUGAAUGUGAGUAGAGGUUGGUUUGCUUAUCAUGGUUGCAGGAUCAACCCCCGGCUGUUGCUGCUGGUGUUUUGGUUCUUCUACAAGUGCUUCAUAUCCUCCGCUUUGUUUUUAUUGUUGUCCAGUUUUGCUACUAGGCAGCUAUGAUCUUUUGUUUUGCUAGUUUGUUUGUUUGUUUGUUGUGCUUCUUGCAGCGGGCUGUUGGAACUCCAUUAUGCUAUUGCUGGAAGAGUUGGUUUGCUGCAGCUGACCAAUGCUGUUUUUGGUAUGGAUUGGCGGUUGCUUUGGAUACCUCUGCAUGCUCUGCUGCUUGGGUUCUUGAAGUUGGCUGCUGGGCUGUGUCCCUGAAUCACUUUUUUGGUGUUGGCUGCUUUUUUUUUUAUAUGGGUUUGCUUCAUAUUGUCAAAUAGCCAUGCUUUGAUGGCUAUGAUGUUAUUUUUGCUUAUUCAAGGGAACUUGUUUUCUUUGUGCUCUAUUUUAUACAUGCCUGUAUGUGUAUUAUGACUUGCUGUUCUUCAAGUUAGUUUUAUUUUGAUCUAUAAAUUUUUUUAUAUUCGAUCAAA